ACAGCAAUUUGAAUUUCUGUGGCAGCUAGGUAUGAUUUGUGACAGAUUUCAGCCUUGCUCUUCAUUGAAGGAGUACAUUGGCAAGUGUUUGAGGUAUUUACCAUGGAGAUUGGAAAGAAGAAAAUGUAAAGAGAAACAUCUGAGUUCUCCUCCCCCACCAUUUCCCACCACUACCACCAUCACCGAUCAUUAGAUGGCACUUCUGGAUUUCAAUAAAGAGCUGCUUUCCUGCAUCUUUUCCCA